GGACAGGAGAGGGACAGCAGCAGCGUGAGGAGGAAGCUCAAGCAGAGGGUGCGGGUCAUUGUAACUGAGAGGAGGGGGUCUGCAGAUACUUCCUGAGCCCUAAACUAUGGUGCAUUAAGACUGAGUAAUUCCCUUCAACACAAGUCAAACAGCCAGUGAGAGGCUAAUAACGGAACAACGGUGACAUCCUCUGGACAAGUACAACCACCGUAGCCUGGACCCACCUUCAUGCCCAUGAGAGCACUUCCCUUGCGGAAAUGUCCUUUGGGCCAGUCUGGGGCCUGCUGAAUGG